rnacentral:tRNA from 1 species
GAGGCCUUGGUGUAAUAGCAGCACAAGAGUUUGUGGAACUCUCGGUGGGGGUGCAAUUCCCCUAGGUCUCC